rnacentral:rRNA from 1 species
AUUGAACGCUGGCGGCAGGCCUAACACAUGCAAGUCGAACGGUAACAGGAAGCAGCUUGCUGCUUCGCUGACGAGUGGCGGACGGGUGAGUAAUGUCUGGGAAACUGCCUGAUGGAGGGGGAUAACUACUGGAAACGGUAGCUAAUACCGCAUAACGUCGCAAGACCAAAGAGGGGGACCUUCGGGCCUCUUGCCAUCGGAUGUGCCCAGAUGGGAUUAGCUAGUAGGUGGGGUAACGGCUCACCUAGGCGACGAUCCCUAGCUGGUCUGAGAGGAUGACCAGCCACACUGGAACGGUGACACUGUCCAGACUCCUACGGGAGGCAGCAAUGGGGAAUAUUGCGCAAUGGGCGCAAGCCUGAUGCAGCCAUGCCGCGUGUAUGAAGAAGGCCUUCGGGUUGUAAAGUACUUUCAGCGGGGAGGAAGGCGACAGGGUUAAUAACCCUGUCGAUUGACGUUACCCGCAGAAGAAGCACCGGCUAACUCCGUGCCAGCCGCCGCGGUAA